GACUUCAGGGAUCGACGCGCCGG
rnacentral:miRNA from 1 species